GUCAAGUAAGCCUCUCCGUUCUCUCUGCUUCAGUCCUCCCUUGCUGUUCUGCCAGUCAGUCAUCAUGGCAACUGAGGAGGACGAGGACGAAGAUGAUGAUGAUGAUGACAACAAUGAAUGGUGUCUUUGACGACAGUUUGGUGGUGAAUCUCCACUCCUAAGGGUGGAGUACUGGGCCCUGUUCCCUUCCUACUUCCUACAUCCUCCAACUUCACUUCCUCUUCCUACUUCUGACUUCCUCUUCCCUCUUCCUGUUUCUUACACCCAAACUCCCUCCUUCUCAUUCCGCUCCCCUUCCUUUGGGAACAGAGUCCAGUGGGCAGAAGAGAUAGACCAAUAGAUACCAACGACAGACACAUCUCCUUGGAAACCAGUGGCAACUCCAAGAAAUAAAGAAAUGAAGAGGACAAAGGUCAGCUCCCCAGCCAGAAGAGGAGGAGUUAUCUCCAUCCGUCUGACCUAGGGAAGCAUGUCUCUCCGACGCCUGACCCAGACAAGGAUAUCUCUCUGCCUGGCCCAGCGAAGGAUGCCUCUCCAUCUGACCCAGGGAAGGAAAUCUCUCAGCCUGACCCAGGGAAGGAUGUCUCCCUUGAGAAGCUACAGGACGUCUCUUCUGAGAAGCUCCAGAUGGCUCCUGAGAAGCUCAAGGACAUCUCUCCUGAGAAGCUCCAGAAUGUCUCCUGAGAAGCUUCAGAAUGUCUGCUGAGAAGCUCCAGGACGUCUCUCCUGAGAAGCUCCAGAAAGUCCCCUGAGAAGCUCUCACUCUGUGGGCCCACAGAAUGACCCGCGCAGAAGACGAACAAGACGGCACCUUUAUGGAGACAAACAGAGUGAUGGGCAUGCAUGCUUUUGGACAGUUUGCAGAUGUGCUUAUGCAGACGAGUAGUCUUGAGUAGAUAGAUAGAUAGAUAGCCUUUAUGUCGCCUGUGCAAUGGAGUUGAAGUAGACUAAUUGCAGUAAUAUUUGUAAUUAGUAGUCUCCUCCUGCGUCCGAAAGAAAGCACAUCCCUUGUGUAUUAGUGAAAUGUAUAAUGUGAAAGUCACAGGAUCACUGUAAUGGUUUUGCAAGUGGACCACAGUGAGGGACAGGAGGCGGGUCAUGAUCCGACCUGCCACACCCACCCACUAGCUAACUUUGUUGCAGGGGCUGCCUGGAUCGACUUGUACAAUACACACAACACACACUCUCAUCUCCAUUAGUGUGGAUACAGAUGUAGCAUAUCUAAAGCUACAUCCUAGUCUAAUGGAAAUAAAUGUAUAUGAUUAUGAUUAUGACAUUUAUAUGAUUAUGAUUAUUAAAUAUACAUUUGUAAUGUGCAUUUAUAUCAAUGCACAUAAACCAAUACAUGACGGCCAGACAUAUAUGUUACUUUAUUCAAAGCUACAUUCUGGUCUAAUGGAAAGAAAUGUAUAUGAUUAUGACAUUUAUAUGAUUAUUACAUAUACUUUGCAAUGUGCAUUUAUAUUAAUGUACAUGAACCAAUACAUGACUGCCACACAUGUAUGUAAACUCGAAUAUAGCGCAUAGAACACAGUGUCUGUAGUGCUAUGUGCUCUUGCAUCUAUUGGACAACCUCUUUUACUUGGUUGUGUGGAGGGGAACCUGUCACGGCAUUGCCAGUCGGCGAGCAUUAUAGCAGCUUUAUAUGUUUGUGCGUAUUGCUGUGAGGACAGACGGGGUGCUCCCUGUUCUGUCCGUGUCUGUCCAGCUGUAUGACAUGUCUGAUAGGGCCACACGGAAACUCCCCAUAAUAAUAAUAAUACUAAAUAAAAAAACAUCUGACCCCU